rnacentral:lncRNA from 1 species
CAAUCUUUAUAAUCAAGCUCUAGGGGAGAGUUUAAUUAUUACCUUCUUUUUACAGGUGAGAACUACCAAAGCUAGGAGAGAAAACUCACCCAUGAGCGCUCAACCAGUAAAUGCUAAUUCAGUCAGCUGGUCAGCUGGUUUAUAGACUGAAGGCACUCAACUGACAUUCUAGGAAAGAUGUCUUCAGCAAUUGCACCGGAUGAAGACCUUGCUGCUGUCCUUCCUGAAAAAACUACUGUCUUUGGAGAAGAUUCAACACCAACAGUCCCGGGAGUCAGGCAUGUUGUGGGGUAUCGAUGACAGACCUUACAGCUGUGAGACUAGGAGGCGGCUUAGUCAGCAUGGGACAGAAUAACAAUGCCAACAUCAUAGAAAUGUUGAAAGGAUUGAGUGAAUUGAAGAGGCCACUGUACUUAACAGCACCUCUCGGUGGUAAGUUCUCCACACAGAGCAGGAUGGCUUCCUACUUCUCCACUAGGAACUGGUUUCAU